GAUGAACGCUGGCGGCGUGCCUAACACAUGCAAGUCGAACGAAGCACCUUACCUGAUUCUUCGGAUGAAAGUUUGGUGACUGAGUGGCGGACGGGUGAGUAACGCGUGGGUAACAUGCCCUGUACAGGGGGAUAACAGCUGGAAACGGCUGCUAAUACCGCAUAAGCGCACGAGGAGACAUCUCCUUGUGUGAAAAACUCCGGUGGUACAGGAUGGGCCCGCGUCUGAUUAGCUGGUUGGCAGGGUAACGGCCUACCAAGGCAACGAUCAGUAGCCGGUAUGAGAGGAUGAACGGCAACAUUGGAACUGAGACACGGUCCAAACUCCUACGGGAGGCAGCAGUGGUGAAUAUUGCACAAUGGGGGAACCCCUGAGGCAGCAACGCCGCGUGAGUGAAGAAGUAUUUCGGUAUGUAAAGCUCUAUCAGCAGGGAAGAUAAUGACGGUACCUGACUAAGAAGCUCCGGCUAAAUACGU
rnacentral:rRNA from 1 species